rnacentral:rRNA from 1 species
GACGUAGGGCGCGAGCGUUGUCCGGAUUUAUUGGGCGUAAAGAGCUCGUAGGCGGCUUGUCGCGUCGUCCGUGAAAACCCACAGCUCAACUGUGGGCUUGCGGUCGAUACGGGCGAGGCUAGAGUUCGGUAGGGGAGACUGGAAUUCCUGGUGUAGCGGUGAAAUGCGCAGAUAUCAGGAGGAACACCGGUGGCGAAGGCGGGUCUCUGGGCCGAUACUGACGCUGAGGUGCGAAAGCGUGGGGGAGCAAACAGG